UACGGGGGGGGCAAGCGUUGUUCGGAAUUACUGGGCGUAAAGGGCGCGUAGGCGGUUCGCUAAGUUGGAUGUGAAAACUCUGGGCUCAACCCAGAGCCUGCAUCCAAAACUGGCGGGCUAGAGUUCUGGAGGGGGUAGCGGAUUCCUGGUGUAGCGGUGAAAUGCGCAGAUAUCAGGAAGAACACCCGUGGCUAAGGCGGCUCUCUAGUACGGUACUGACGCUGAGACGCGAAAGCGUGGGGAGCGAACAGG
rnacentral:rRNA from 1 species